AGUCUCCACCACCACCAACUCCCGUUUACAAGUCACCUUCACCACCAGAGAAGUCAUAUCAUCCUGCACCAGUAUAUAAGUCUCUACCACCUCCAACUCCAAUUUACAAAUCACCACCACCACCAGUGAAGCCAUACCAUCCUACACCAGUAUACAAGUCUCCACCACCACCAACUCCAGUUUACAAGUCACCACCACCACCAGUGAAGCCAUACCACCCUGCUCCAGUAUACAAGUCUCCACCACCACCAACUCCAGUUUACAAGUCACCACCACCACCGGUGAAGCCAUAUCACCCUUCUCCAGUAUACAAGUCUCCACCACUACCAACUCCAAUUUACAAGUCACCACCACCGGUAAAGCCAUACCACCCUGCACCAGUAUACAAGUCUCCACCACCACCAACUCCCAUUUACAAGUCACCACCACCACCAGUGAAGCCAUACCAUCCUGCACCAGUAUACAAAUCUCCACCACCACCAACUCCCAUUUACAAGUCACCACCACCACCAGUGAAACCAUAUCAUCCUGCACCAGUACACAAAUCUCCACCACCACCAACUCCCAUUUACAAGUCACCACCACCACCGGUGAAGCCAUACCAUCCUUCACCAACA
rnacentral:lncRNA from 1 species